GGCCCUCUACUGUGGUAGAACGGUAGUAGUGUUGAGGUGGCCCUCUACUGUGGUAGAACGGUAGUAGUGUUGAGGUGGCCCUCUACUGUGGUAGAACGGUAGUAGUGUUGAGGUGGCCCUCUACUGUGGUAGAACGGUAGUAGUGUUGAGGUGGCCCUCUACUGUGGUAGAACGGUAGUAGUGUUGAGGUGGCCCUCUACUGUGGUAGAACGGUAGUAGUGUUGAGGUGGCCCUCUACUGUGGUAGAACGGUAGUAGUGUUGAGGUGGCCCUCUACUGUGGUAGAACGGUAGUAGUGUUGAGGUGGCCCUCUACUGUGGUAGAACGGUAGUAGUGUUGAGGUGGCCCUCUACUGUGGUAGAACGGUAGUAGUGUUGAGGUGGCCCUCUACUGUGGUAGAACGGUAGUAGUGUUGAGGUGGCCCUCUACUGUGGUAGAACGGUAGUAGUGUUGAGGUGGCCCUCUACUGUGGUAGAACGGUAGUAGUGUUGAGGUGGCCCUCUACUGUGGUAGAGCGGUAGUAGUGUUGAGGUGGCCCUCUACUGUGG